rnacentral:rRNA from 1 species
UACGAGUGCCUCAAGCGUUAUCCGGAAUCAUUGGGCGUAAAGGUUGUGUAGGUGGCUGUAUUAGUCUCUUGUUAAAUUCUUCGGCUUAACCGGGGGCAUGCAUGGGAAACGGUACGACUCGAGGAUGCGAGGGGUCUGCGGAACUCAUAGUGUAGCGGUGAAAUGCGUUGAUAUUAUGGGGAACACCAAAAGCGAAGGCAGCAGACUGGAGCACUCCUGACACUGAAACAAGAAAGCGUGGGUCGCGAAUGGG